GGGAAACCGCGACACUCACUGUACUUCAUUGGCUACCAAGAUGACUUCCUGCUGUACCUGGACCCUCACUACUGCCAGCCCACUGUGGAUGUCAGCCAGGCCGACUUCCCCCUGGAGGUCCUCAGCUCCUCCUCAGCCACAGAGCGGUACCCCAUGUUCACCCUGGCCGAGGGCCAUGCUCAGGACCACAGCCUGGACGACCUCUGCUCCCAGCUCGCCCAGCCCACACUCCGGCUCCCUCGCACAGGGCGGCUCCUCAGGGCCAAACGCCCCAGCUCUGAGGACUUUGUGUUUUUAUAAAGGGAGGGGAUGAGGGGAAAGAUACAACACUAUUUAUUUUUUUAUUUAUGUCAUGUCGGGUGUGGGAUCUUGAGCUC
rnacentral:lncRNA from 1 species